GGGAAGGUGGCUCAGUGGUAGAGCGCUUGCCUUGCAUGCAAGAGGCCAUGGGUUCGAUUCCUCAGUACCA
rfam:Dipodomys ordii contig_9393, whole genome shotgun sequence.